rnacentral:rRNA from 1 species
UACGUAGGGACCAAGCGUUGUUCGGAUUUACUGGGCGUAAAGGGCGCGUAGGCGGCGUGUUAAGUCAGUUUUGAAAUCUCCAAGCUUAACUUGGAACGGUCAACUGAUACUGAUGUGCUAGAGUGCAGAAGGGGCAACCGGAAUUCUUGGUGUAGCGGUGAAAUGCGUAGAUAUCAAGAGGAACACCUGAGGUGAAGACGGGUUGCUGGGCUGACACUGACGCUGAGGCGCGAAAGCUAGGGUAGCAAACGGG